UUUUUACCCACCAUACCUGGGUCGCUAUAUUUUAUUGCUAGCUAGCCUAUUAGUACUCCUCCCUGCUUACUAUGUGUUUGUGGGUGAGUAAGAGCAGAGCAUGGGAUGCUCCAGAGUGUGGGACACUCCGACCCGAGCCUGGGAGGCUCCCUUCUUUCGUAUGAUCGCAGCGUUGCUGACCGGCUUAGGAGUGGAGGCUAGCACCACCUUUGCUAUCUAUCCUCAGUAGGUUAUUUAUUAACCUACCUUAUGUAUCAUAUUUCGAGUGUGUUCUAUAGAUUGCUCUGAGUACCUUAAAAGGUUGGAUUUAUACAUUUGUAUAAUUAUGAGUGUAUGGGAGUUGUAUAAUAUUGGAGGAAGUUGAAAGAUUUGAAUUGCUGGGUUGUAAUUUAUAUCAGUGAUUAUGUUGGUGUAGUAC